rnacentral:sRNA from 1 species
GAAGAAAUCAAAAUUCAAAGUGCCUUGA